rnacentral:rRNA from 1 species
GAUGAACGCUGGCGGCGUGCCUAAUACAUGCAAGUCGAGCGAACAGACGAGGAGCUUGCUCCUUCGACGUUAGCGGCGGACGGGUGAGUAACACGUAGGUAACCUACCUAUAAGACUGGGAUAACUUCGGGAAACCGGAGCUAAUACCGGAUAAUAUUUCGAACCGCAUGGUUCGAUAGUGAAAGAUGGCUUUGCUAUCACUUAUAGAUGGACCUGCGCCGUAUUAGCUAGUUGGUAAGGUAACGGCUUACCAAGGCAACGAUACGUAGCCGACCUGAGAGGGUGAUCGGCCACACUGGAACUGAGACACGGUCCAGACUCCUACGGGAGGCAGCGGUAGGGAAUCUUCCGCAAUGGGCGAAAGCCUGACGGAGCAACGCCGCGUGAGUGAUGAAGGUCUUCGGAUCGUAAAACUCUGUUAUUAGGGAAGAACAAACGUGUAAGUAACUGUGCACGUCUUGACGGUACCUAAUCAGAAAGCCACGGCUAACUACGUG